AGAGUGUGACUGGGAACAGCUUUGUUAGCAGGCUGAAGGCAGACUUACAGCUUCAUUGAGGAUUCAGUUGCAUCCCAUUUACAGGAUGAAUAGGAUUCAGUUUCAUCCGAAAGGAGCCUGGGUCAUCCAGACCGCACAGCAGUGAGAACAAAAGCACAGAAAAUGGGAACCAUUGGGAGACUGGCCUCUAAAGCACCUACAACCCUGACUACAUCUGUGAUGGCGACAAGCUCCCAGUGGGUCACAAUAAAUACCCAGUGGCAAUGGAGACAAGUGGGUGGAGUAUAAGAGUGCCUGGAGUUAACAUAAUGAAACUGAAUCCUUUUCUUGAACAAGAAGUGAAAUAAACUUUAAAUCAAAGUCUCCAUUAAGGCCCCUUCUGCAAGAUGCUACUUUCAGUUUCUGAUAAUCAUUAUAAAUGGAGCAGAUUGGAAAAACUCAAAUGGAUCCAAUAUGAAAAGCCUCACUGCCUCCAGUCACUGCAGGGGGAGAGGAAUGCAGCCCCACUUACCUCCAAACUCAUUUUGGUCUUCCUACACCCCGACAGUAAAAUACAUGUGGAAAACCAGAAAUGCUGUGAGGUGAUGACAAUUACCUGAAGAUAUGAAGAUGAGCAGUGAACAGACCAGAGAAGAGAAGUCAGGUGUGGAUGGCCAGGCCACACCAUACUUCUGUACUCAUUAAGAAAAUAAAUAAACUCUUAGUUGGAUACAUUAAAAAAGAGUUGGUGGUUUCCAGCUGCAACUCACUUUAGUUCUUUAAAAUUAUCCUUGCGUUUCUGUUUAAGAAUUUACCUUGAGGAGGGAUGGGAAUCUGCUGCAUGCUACCAUCUGUCUUUCCUUAGAAAUACAGCACAAUAAAAGUGAGAUUGUCUUGUCUCUUUUAUAAGGUUA